UUGGAUCUCAUGAAGGCAUUUCCUCAAU
rnacentral:piRNA from 1 species